CUUGAUAACAUAAGAGGUCCAGCCUGCCCAGUGACUCAAUUUAACGGCCGCGGUAUCCUAACCGUGCAAAGGUAGCGUAAUCACUUGUCUUCUAAAUAAAGACUAGUAUGAAAGGCACCACGAGAACUAAACUGUCUCCUUUUUCUAAUCAGUGAACCUAAUCUCCCUGUGAAAAAGCAGGGAUUUAAUAAUAAGACGAGAAGACCCUAUGGAGCUUUAAACACAUAACACUGCCCUUUUACACCACAAUGUUCCCAUGCACAAUGAUUAAGAGUUUUUAGUUGGGGUGACUACGGAGUAAACCCACCCUCCGCGAUGAAUCUUAAACAAGCGACAGCUUUAUACAUCAGCAAACUGACACCAUUGACCCAAUUUAUUGAUCAACGAAC
rnacentral:rRNA from 2 species